rnacentral:rRNA from 1 species
CCUACGGGAGGCAGCAGUGAGGAAUAUUGGUCAAUGGGCGAGAGCCUGAACCAGCCCAAGUAGCGUGCAGGAUGACGGCCCUAUGGGUUGUAAACUGCUUUUAUAAGGGAAUAAAGUGAGCCUCGUGAGGCUUUUUGCAUGUACCUUAUGAAUAAGGACCGGCUAAUUCCGUGCCAGCAG